rfam:Myotis davidii contig66679, whole genome shotgun sequence.
GGCGGUUCUCAGAUGAUACACCCUGGAAUCGGGCUCCCUCUUCUCUGGUUCUGGGUGCAUCACACAAGAACUGCU